rnacentral:rRNA from 1 species
UGGGGAAUAUUGCACAAUGGGCGCAAGCCUGAUGCAGCCAUGCCGCGUGUGUGAAGAAGGCCUUCGGGUUGUAAAGCACUUUCAGCGGGGAGGAAGGCGAUAAGGUUAAUAACCUUGUCGAUUGACGUUACCCGCAGAAGAAGCACCGGCUAACUCCGUGCCAGCAGCCGCGGUAAUACGGAGGGUGCAAGCGUUAAUCGGAAUUGCUGGGCGUAAAGCGCACGCAGGCGGUCUGUCAAGUCGGAUGUGAAAUCCCCGGGCUCAACCUGGGAACUGCAUUCGAAACUGGCAGGCUAGAGUCUUGUAGAGGGGGGUAGAAUUCCAGGUGUAGCGGUGAAAUGCGUAGAGAUCUGGAGGAAUACCGGUGGCGAAGGCGGCCCCCUGGACAAAGACUGACGCUCAGGUGCGAAAGCGUGGGGAGCAAACAGG